CAUUGCUCUCUGUUCCUGUACAUGUUGCCGUUUUCAAAUCGAUUCUAUCUCUAAUACUUUUUAAGAAAAAUGCAAAGGAAAGAAAUCGUUUCAAGGGGAUAUAACUCUCAUAGGGGAAGAUGAAAUCCUAUUCAGCCUCAUAUGGUAAUACAUCAUGAUGAGAUGUACCUAUUGUCCAAAUAAGGUCAUGAUAUCUUUAAAAACAACGAGGGGGGGGGGCUAUGUUGAAAAAAAAUCAAUAAAAGGGAGAUACCUUCAUAAGGGGAUGAUGAAAUCCUUAACAAUGUCAUCUGGUAAUACUUCAUGAUGAGGUCUAUCGAUGGUUACUAUUUGGUAUUCAUAACUUCAAAAUAAACAAGAUGCGGGCAUGUCAAGAAAAUGUUGGAAGAAAAAAAAGAAAAAAAAAAAAAAAAAACAUUAGAAAAACAAUAAGGUCUUUCCUCGCGUAGAGGAAAGACCUUAAAAAUGACAAAACUUACGAUGCCAGGAAUUAUAGUAAACAAAACAGAUGUAAAUAUUAAGUAUACACCUUAUGGUGAUACCCAAACACUUCACUAAAAUUAAUUUGAUUCGUUUAAUUUUCAUAAAAUUUUGACAAAGCAUUUACUUUGACUCUUUGACAAAAACAUAAAAAAAAUAAAAAAAUUGAACCAACC
rnacentral:lncRNA from 1 species